CGUUAGCAUCUGAUUUGCGCCGACUCGGUUGGCCUCUGCUGCCAAAGAGAGAGGCAAGAGACAGGCUUUCUGUAACACUGGCAGUCUGACUUCAUCUCCUCCAACAGAUCGGCAGCAGAACAGGCUCUUGCCUGUCAGACCUAUCUGAAGUGCCCUCUUUCAUGCAGUCCUAUCUGUCAGCGGGAGGACCAGUUCUGGGAGGUGGAUGUUGUUCUUCGGGCUCCAAAGGCCAUAUGCUAAAAAUACUGAUGGCAGAGACUGAGACGGACACCCGAAGAGCACUUGGCAGUGAGGAUACUGUGCUGUGUGGAGCCUGUCCUUCAGGGGAAGAUCUCCCGCUGCCCAGUUUCUCAGGAAAGCUAGUGAGUUCUCACUCCCGUGGUGCCAAACUAGUUCCUGGAUCAUCAAGUUCUGAGAAGGAGAGGCAGCCUCCUUUGAAGCAGCACACAGCCUUCACCAACCAGACAUGGCUGUCCAGUCUUGGACUUCUCAGGUUCCAGAGCAAUCAACCAAAAUAAACAAGUGAUUUGGGCCUCGGGUAGUCUCUUUAGUAAUGGAAAACUGAAAGGUCCCGAGUAUGAGACUCAAGGGGGAUAAAUGGGCAGAUUAUCUCUUCAGAAGAAUCUCUGCUAUGACGGCUUGCUCACAUGCAGAACAAGUUGCAGCUGGCUGUCAGCAGGAGACUUUAUUUCCUCCUCUGGGUGAGCUUCUUCCUAGACCUUCUGCCUCCUCAUGACUGGGCAGCUAGCUUCCCACAAGCAGACAGGAAGGAAGUGGCUACGCCUUCUUCAACCUGGUCCUAGAAGCGCUAGCCCAUCUUUCCAGCCAUAGUCAGUUGCUGAGUCAGUCACCAGUGAUUCAGAGAUGAGCAAGACACUUGCAGCUGGUUUGAAGGAUGCGAACAGGUUCACAAACGAAUGCUGGGCAGCAGCUGGCAUUUGGAGGGGGCCAAGGUAUCAUUGCAGACUCCAGGGACGGUGCAAAAGAGGUGUCUUCAGGUCAGGAAAUUAACUCUGCUGCAACAGGCUUUGAGAGCAACAGCAACCCUGCAAAGAGUACCAGAGAAAUGGAGUAUGGUGUGUCCAUUUCACCUGGACCAUCUUCUGAAGCCCCAAAUUAAACAACCUCACCAACAUCACCCUCUUUCCAUGUAGAGAGAUUAAAAGAAGACAAUAAAGAAAAUAGA